GAUGUACACCUUUGAAAUAAAACUGACUGAAGGAUUUGGAAAAACAUGCUUUAGCAAAUAAAACAUUUUACGCGCUCGACCCACUGAUGCUAGACAUUGCUCUGACCAUCCUAACUUAUCAUUUACAAUGACCCCUAGAUCUUUGGUUGAGGUUUUUACACUCAGGAGUGUGCCAUUUAUAUGGUAAAGGUACUUUGGGUUGUUGUGGCCACACUGAAGUACACAGCAUUUUGCAAUAUUUAGUGGUAUUUGCCACUUCUCGCUCCAUUGGAAGAUUAAAUUAAGUUGGUCUUGCAAGUCCGUGACAAGUGGGUUAGCAAAUAACUUAAUAUCAUCCGCAUAUGCUGAAUAGCUGUCCAGUGAAAACAAUAAAUCUGCUGUAUAUAACAAGAAUAAAAUUGGUCCAAGAACUGAUCCCUGUGGGACCCCACUUAAUACUGGUUUAGAGUACGAAAAUUUACCACAGACUUUUACACAAUAGUUUCGAUUUGAUAGAAACGCUCGGAUCCAAUCAAGCAAAUUUCCUGUUACACCAUAGGACUCCAGUUUUGCUAACAAGAGAUUGUGAGGGACUUUAUCAAAGGCUUUACUAAAAUCAAGGUAAAUUAUGUCUACAGGUUGGUUAGUGUCUAACAUUUUUGUCCAUAGAUUUGUGCAGGAUAGCAAAUUUGUGACAACUGACCUACCUGGUAAAAAGCCGUGCUGAUGCUCAGCAUGUCGACGUGAGACUUACAGGUCUAUAGUUAGCAGGAUCAAGUUUAUCUCCUGACUUGUACAAAGGCGUGAUUGUUGCUUGCAACCACUCGAAGGGCAAAGUGCCUUGUAAGAAUGAUUUUGUCAUCAUUUUGGCAAGUGGGCCCGACAACGAAGCAGCACAAGUUCUCAGGAGUUUGGGAGGUAUCUGAUCCGGACCUGGAGCUGUAUUUAAUUUAAUGGCACAGAGUUGGCUUUUUACCAGAUCCGGAGUAAAAUUAAUAUAAGACAACCCACUAAAUGUAGCAGCAAAACUGUCCGCUAAAGUGUUUGCAGUUUCUGUAUGAUCGGAGCAGAGUAGACCUGAAGCAUUUCGUACUAAAGGGACCGACACACGACUAGAGAUAAAUUUACGUACAUGGGAAUAAAAUAGUUUUGGUUUAUUUAAUAUAGAAUUUUCAUAAUUACACCUGGCUAUUUGUAAAUCAGAUUUUAGUUGGUUAGAAAAUCUUUUAUAAGCAGAAAAAUUAUCUUCAGUAGGCUUCCUUUUAAAUUUUUUCCAUAAUUUAGCUUUGUAUUUUAUUUUGUCAAGCAUGUGUUGAUUUAUCCACGGUUUAUCUUUUCUCAGUCGGUUUGUAAACAGUCUGGAAUUUGUUGUAAUGCAAGUUUGUAAAAUCGAUUUAAAAUGUUUCCAUUGUUCUUCCGCAUUUAGUGAAUCUAAACCAUUCCAGUCGUAAGUCAAGAGACUUUCGUCUAUGCGAGUGUAGUCAACAAUUGAUGUUGUUUUAAUUCUUGCAUUUGGCUCUGAAUAUAUCAUAAUUUGUAACUCAAUUUCGAUUUUUGAAUGAUCAGAUGUACCUACAGGAUUCGAAACGUUUAAAGACGAUACAAGGUUAACGUCAGACAAAAUUACCAAAUCAAGUAAUGAAGGACGUUGUUGGGAUCUAAAUCGUGUAGGUUCAGUGACUAUUUGUGACAAAUUAUUCUCCAAGAGCAAUUCAGAAAAUUGUUUUUCGAUGAUUGUUUGACCUGUUGUGUUUUUAGCAGACCAGUCUAUACAUGGAAAAUUGAAAUCUCCCAUGAUAAUUAAGUUAGGAUACUGAUUAAUAGUUGAUUGUAUGGUAUUAAAUAGAUUUUUAUCAUUUUCGUGAUUGUUAAAAGACGCUCCUGUUGGUGGUCUGUAAAUACAUGCUAUAACAAAGG